AGUUGUGGGAGAACAAUAUGCUGAAGCGAGCGAUCCAAAAUAUUUAGAAAUGGGACAACGAAACAUGGAUGGUACUUACGUUAACGUCUCAAAGAAACCAGCUGACAUGGAUGGUACUUACGUUAACAUCUCAAAGAAGCCUGCUGAUGAUACUUAUGCUAACGUUUUGAAGAAACCUAGUGGUUACCAGUGAAGGUCUAUGUUCUUCAGAUGAACAAAAGGAACCUAGAACCUUCCAGAACCGAAUG
rnacentral:lncRNA from 1 species